ACAUCUCACGCUAGCCGGUUCACUGUGUGUGCUAAUCCAUUUGUGGCUGAAACCCAGUUGAAGUAUUGCACAGUAUGAUAGGUGGAACCAUGAUGGCUGCGUAUUUGCGAGUUCCCAUGCUCACUUUCUCACAGUCUUCCACAGCUACGACAAGGAGAUGCAGAAAUCAAAGAACUCGUUGUUCAGUUAACGCCGCCACUAACAGCGCCAAAAUUCCAAUGCCUCCUCACAACCCUAAAGACCCAUUUCUCUCCAAGCUCGCCUCCGUCGCCGCCUCUGCCCCGGAAACGCUCCUCAACCCUCCCCGUAACUCCGACGCCCCUCCUUUUCUCGACAUCUUCGAUACCCCCAAACUCAUGGCUACUCCCGCUCAAGUUGAAAGGUCUGUUUCAUACAAUGAACAUCGGCCCACAAAACCGCCGCCGGACCUGCCUUCAUUGCUUCUCAAUGGUAGAAUUAUUUACAUUGGGAUGCCUUUGGUUCCGGCUGUCACAGAACUAGUUAUUGCGGAAUUGAUGUACUUGCAGUUUAUGGAUCCUAAAGAGCCAAUCUAUAUGUACAUAAAUUCCACUGGGACUACUCGAGAUGAUGGUGAAACGGUAGGCAUGGAGACAGAAGGUUUUGCCAUUUAUGAUGCAAUGAGGCAGUUAAAGAACGAGAUACACACAGUGGGUGUUGGAGCUUGUAUAGGUCAAGCCUGUUUGCUACUUUCAGCAGGCACUCCGGGUAAACGCUUUAUGAUGCCACAUGCUAAAGCUAUGAUUCAGCAACCUCGUAUCCCAUCCUCUGGGUUGAUGCCUGCAAGUGAUGUUCUUAUUCGUGCAAAGGAGGUGAUAACUAACAGAGACAAUCUGAUUAAACUACUGGCUAAACACACGGGAAAUUCAGAGGAAACAGUUGCUAAAGUGAUGAGGAGGCCAUAUUAUAUGGAUGCAAUAAAGGCUAAGGAAUUUGGUGUCAUUGACAGAGUUCUUUGGCGUGGCCAGGAAAAGAUUAUGGCUGACGUUGCUCCUCCAGAGGAGUGGGACAAGGGUGCUGGUAUUAAAGUUGUAGAUGAAUUCUAGUUCCUCUUUUGUGGAUACAUACUUGUCAAUGCGUUUACUGCUUCAGUUCUGGCAGUGCGAACCAAGUGAAGCUCCUAAUCUGCUCUGUGAGAAUGCAGCAUAUAUGGUGGUGUUAGGGAAAGUAGAAAACGAGCUCUGAAUUGUUUAAACAAAGAUGUCACAAGUUUCAGUAGGAUUUGUUUUCACUGUCUACGAGUCCAGAAAUGUGCCACAGCUAUUGACAGAAAACUGACCUGUAGGUUAUGAGCCGAAGUGCCAGAAGGAAGAAAGUUGAUGGACAUUUUACUAAGAAUGUUAGGGAAAAACAUAGAAAAAGAAACAGCGAUGUUCAUCCAUGUGGUCAUAUACAAUGUUUUGGUUCUGGUCAUUGUGUAGUCAUUGAUUGUCGCCCGAUUAUUUAUAUAGGGACUCUGACGUUUAUCAUUAUACUAUCAAUGAAGGACAUGCAAAUUUGUUAUA